GUUUGUGAUUUGGAUGGAUAAACCUCGAUGGAAGCCGUGCACCAACUGUGUUCCAGGAACAAUCUGCCUGUCUAAAUCACAGCACCAGAAAACAAAAGGAGUCACAUAAUGAACUACCUGUGAAGGAGAAGCCCAAGGAUCACAACAGGCAUUCCCUCUAGACUGUAAGCUCUUUGUGGGCAGGGAACAUGCCUAGCAUCUUUGCACAGAGUAAGUGCUCAAUAAAUACAAUUGAUUGAUAAACAGAAACUAUGCCGGGGGACUCUUCCCUGGAAUUCCCGUGAAAGAAUGGGGUGCUUUGGGAAAACUACCCAUUUUCAUAUGUCAAUGCCCAUGUUUUUUGAAGCUUUUUUUUUUUAAACAAAUAAACCAAUUUAGCAUGGCCUGCCAACAUUUGA